AGUUUAAGUUUAGUAGUUUUAGGUUUAGUGGUUGUAGAUUUAAUGGUUUUAGGUUUAGUGGUUGUAGAUUUAGUGGUUUUAUGUUUAGUGGUUUUAGGUUUAACGGUUUUUUUGUCGUUUUUGUUUUUUCUUCUUAUAUUGUAGUCCAUUUCCCCACCGCGGUUUUUUCUAAAAUUCAUUAA